CGGGGGGCAGCAGUGGGGAAUAUUGCACAAUGGGCGAAAGCCUGAUGCAGCGACGCCGCGUGAGGGAUGACGGCCUUCGGGUUGUAAACCUCUUUCAGUAGGGAAGAAGCGAAAGUGACGGUACCUGCAGAAGAAGCGCCGGCUAACUACGUGCCAGCAGCCGCGGUAAUACGUAGGGCGCAAGCGUUAUCCGGAAUUAUUGGGCGUAAAGAGCUCGUAGGCGGUUUGUCGCGUCUGCCGUGAAAGUCCGGGGCUCAACUCCGGAUCUGCGGUGGGUACGGGCAGACUAGAGUGAUGUAGGGGAGACUGGAAUUCCUGGUGUAGCGGUGAAAUGCGCAGAUAUCAGGAGGAACACCGAUGGCGAAGGCAGGUCUCUGGGCAUUAACUGACGCUGAGGAGCGAAAGCAUGGGGAGCGAACAGGAUUAGAUACCCCAGU
rnacentral:rRNA from 1 species